GCCUGGUUAGCUCAGUUGGUAGAGCGUGUGGCUUUUAAAGAAUGACUGAUUUGCUCAUUCUAUGGAAAACCUCAAAGUCACGGGUUCGAGCCCCGUAUCAGGCU